UUUGUAUAGGGAUAAACCUACCCUCGUGAGGGUAGCUGAAGGUACUAUACGAAUAAGCACCGGCUAACUCCGUGCCAGCAGCCGCGGUAAUACGGAGGGUGCAAGCGUUAUCCGGAUUUAUUGGGUUUAAAGGGUCCGUAGGCGGAUCUGUAAGUCAGUGGUGAAAUCUCACAGCUUAACUGUGAAACUGCCAUUGAUACUGCAGGUCUUGAGUGUUGUUGAAGUAGCUGGAAUAAGUAGUGUAGCGGUGAAAUGCAUAGAUAUUACUUAGAACACCAAUUGCGAAGGCAGGUUACUAAGCAACAACUGACGCUGAUGGACGAAAGCGUGGGGAGCGAACAGGAUUAGAUACCCUGGUAGUCCACGCCGUAAACGAUGCUAACUCGUUUUUGGUAUUUCGGUAUCAGAGACUAAGCGAAAGUGAUAAGUUAGCCACCUGGGGAGUACGAACGCAAGUUUGAAACUCAAAGGAAUUGACGGGGGCCCGCACAAGCGGUGGAUUAUGUGGUUUAAUUCGAUGAUACGCGAGGAACCUUACCAAGGCUUAAAUGGGAAAUGACAGGCUUAGAAAUAGGCUUUUCUUCGGACAUUUUUCAAGGUGCUGCAUGGUUGUCGUCAGCUCGUGCCGUGAGGUGUUAGGUUAAGUCCUGCAACGAGCGCAACCCCUGUCACUAGUUGCCAUCAUUAAGUUGGGGACUCUAGUGAGACUGCCUACGCAAGUAGAGAGGAAGGUGGGGAUGACGUCAAAUCAUCACGGCCCUUACGCCUUGGGCCACACACGUAAUACAAUGGCCGGUACAGAGGGCAGCUACACAGCGAUGUGAUGCAAAUCUCGAAAGCCGGUCUCAGUUCGGAUUGGAGUCUGCAACUCGACUCUAUGAAGCUGGAAUCGCUAGUAAUCGCGCAUCAGCCAUGGCGCGGUGAAUACGUUCCCGGGCCUUGUACACACCGC
rnacentral:rRNA from 1 species